rnacentral:rRNA from 1 species
CAAUAGCGUAUAUUAAAGUUGUUGCAGUUAAAAAGCUCGUAGUUGAACUUCGGAACCGGUCGAUUGGUCCGUCCUCUGGAUUGUGUACUGAUCGAUCUGUUCUUCUUCGCGAAGACCGCGUGUGCCCUUAACUGGGUGUGCACGGGAUUCACGACGUUUACUUUGAAAAAAUUAGAGUGUUCAAAGCAGGCAUUCGCUUGAAUAUCUCAGCAUGGAAUAAUAGAAUAGGACUUUGGUCUUAUUUUGUUGGUUUCCGAGACCGAAGUAAUGAUUAAUAGGGACAGUUGGGGGCAUUCGUAUUUCAUUGUCAGAGGUGAAAUUCUUGGAUUUAUGAAAGACGAACUUCUGCGAAAGCAUUUGCCAAGGAUGUUUUUCAUUUAAUCAAGAACGAAAGUUAGGAGGACUCG